GACGUAGGAUGCAAGCGUUGUCCGGAUUUAUUGGGCGUAAAGAGUUCGUAGGUGGUUUGUUAAGUUUGAUGUUAAAGACUGGGGCUCAACCUCGGAAAUGCAUUGGAUACUGGCAGACUUGAGUGCAGUAGAGGCAAGCGGAAUUCCAGGUGUAGCGGUGAAAUGCGUAGAUAUCUGGAAGAACACCGGUGGCGCAAGCCGGGCCUUG
rnacentral:rRNA from 1 species